GAUUGGUUAUAUUAAUUAGGAUUUCCACAGCUCCUCAACUAAACAACAAUGUUAUAUGAGGUAAAUUGAGCCAAAACAAAGGGUGAGGAAAGCAGAAAACAAUUCACUCCCUCCAAAACUCUUGAAAAUUAUCUUUUAAGAUAAGGCAAAUAGGAAGAGAAAGAAAACUAUUGCUGGAAGUUGACUUAGUUGCGUUCCUAUAGGAUGGAGUUGGGGGAAUAGGAAGAAAUACUAAGAAAGAAGAAAGAAGGGAAUAUGCUUCAAAGAAAUUAAAGAUUUGACAAAUUUGAGGAUUUCCUCCCUGGAAAAGAGGAGAUGCUCCACCACUUCCUGAUACUGCAAGGAGGAAGGCGGGAGAGAUAAGGAACAUCCAACCUUCUUACCAGAGUAUUGGUCCAAUCCUGGGGGAAAGAGGACAAGAAAAGCUGGAGAAGAAGAAAGCUGGGGUGUGCCUCAUGGAGAGUCUGAACUGGAGGUUGGAUACCUUUUAGGGUUUGGUCUGUGGCCAGCUUGGACAAUGCUCAACUCUGCCUCACUGAAAUUCAAUUCAUGUGAAAGUCAAGAUAUCACCUGUGAUCUCAUUGGUCUUCUUGAAAAUGAAGGCUAGGGGCAGCUAGAUGGCCUUGAUGGGUAGAGCACCAGGUCCAGAAUCAGGAAGACCUGGGCCCAAAAUGCAGCCUCAGACAUUCCUAGCUGUGUGACCCAGGACAAGUCACCUAACCCUAAUUACUCCACAAAAGAAAAGAGAAAAAAAAAAAGGUACUUAAAAGAAAAAAAGAAAAUGAAAGACGAACAACAGCAAUAAUAGGUUUGUAGAACUAGAAGGAGAAGUGAUCUUGAAGGCCCUCAAGUCCAACUGUCUCAUUUUACACAUGAAGAAAGCAAAAUUUUAGAGACUUAAAUGACUUGCUCAAGAACAGCUACAAACAAGAACAUCUGGAAAUCCCACCAUUUGUAGAAAAUCCCUCUUCCACUUGGACUCUACAUAGUACAUCCUCAAAGGUAUGUCCAACUCUGCAUGAUCCCAUUUGGAGUUUUCUUGGCAAAGAUCCUGGAGUAGUUUGUCAUUUCCUUCUCCAGCUCAUUCUACAGAUGAGGAAACUGAGCCAAAUAGAAGUUUCCCCUACACAGCAAGCACCUACCCUCAGAGGCUACUGAAGGUCAGACACCAAUUGUGACUAUGAAAAGGACUCUCCACAAGCUAAGUACUUUGUUUUGACUAAUUAGA